UAGGGAAUCUUCCACAAUGGACGCAAGUCUGAUGGAGCAACGCCGCGUGAGUGAAGAAGGUUUUCGGACCGUAAAGCUCUGUUGUUGGUGAAGAAGGAUAGAGGUAGUAACUGGCCUUUAUUUGACGGUAAUCAACCAGAAAGUCACGGCUAACUACGUGCCAGCAGCCGCGGUAAUACGUAGGUGGCAAGCGUUGUCCGGAUUUAUUGGGCGUAAAGCGAGCGCAGGCGGAAGAAUAAGUCUGAUGUGAAAGCCCUCGGCUUAACCGAGGAAUUGCAUCGGAAACUGUUUUCUUGAGUGCAGAAGAGGAGAGUAGAACUCCAUGUGUAGCGGUGGAAUGCGUAGAUAUAUGGAAGAAUACCAGUGGCGAAGGCGGCUCUCUGGUCUGCAACUGACGCUGAGGCUCGAAAAGCAUGGGUAGCGAACAGGAUUAGAUACCCUGGUAGUCCAUGCCGUAAAACGAUGAGUGCUAAGUGUUGGGAGGCUUCCGCCUCUCAGUGCUGCAGCUAACGCAUUAAGCACUCCGCCUGGGGGAGUACGACCGCAAGGU
rnacentral:rRNA from 1 species